GCGCCCAUAGCUCAACUGGAUAGAGCGCUUGCCUUCGGAGCAAGAUGUUGCAGGUUCAACUCCUGCUGGGCGCA
rnacentral:tRNA from 1 species